GCUUUGAUGAUCACUUGAGGUGACUGAGUGGCGGACGGGUGAGUAACGCGUGGGUAACCUACCCUAUACAGGGGGAUAACAGUUGGAAACGACUGCUAAUACCGCAUAAGCGCACAGGACCGCAUGGUCUAGUGUGAAAAACUCCGGUGGUAUAGGGAUGGACCCGCGUCUGAUUAGCUAGUUGGUGAGGUAACGGCUCACCAAGGCGACGAUCAGUAGCCGACCUGAGAGGGUGACCGGCCACAUUGGGACUGAGACACGGCCCAAACUCCUACGGGAGGCAGCAGUGGGGAAUAUUGCACAAUGGGCGAAAGCCUGAUUCGCAGCGACGCCGCGUGAACGAAGAAGUAUUUCGGUAUGUAAAGUUCUAUCAGCAGGGAAGAAAAAUGACGGUACCUGACUAAGAAGCUCCGGCUAAAUACGUGCCAGCCGCCGC
rnacentral:rRNA from 1 species